rnacentral:rRNA from 1 species
GAUGAACGCUGGCGGCGUGCCUAAUACAUGCAAGUCGAGCGAACAGACGAGGAGCUUGCUCCUCUGACGUUAGCGGCGGACGGGUGAGUAACACGUGGAUAACCUACCUAUAAGACUGGGAUAACUUCGGGAAACCGGAGCUAAUACCGGAUAAUAUAUUGAACCGCAUGGUUCAAUAGUGAAAGACGGUUUUGCUGUCACUUAUAGAUGGAUCCGCGCCGCAUUAGCUAGUUGGUAAGGUAACAGCUUACCAAGGCAACGAUGCGUAGCCGACCGGAGAGGGUGAUCGGCCACACUGGAACUGAGACACGGUCCAGGCUCCUACGGGAGGCAGCAGUAGGGAAUCUUCCGCAAUGGGCGAAAGCCUGGCGGAGCAACGCCGCGUGAGUGAUGAAGGUCUUCGGAUCGUAAAGCUCUGUUAUUAGGGAAGAACAAAUGUGUAAGUAACUAUGCACGUCUUGACGGUACCUAAUCAGAAAGCCACGGCUAGCUACGUG